GAUGAACGCUGGCGGCGUGCCUAAUACAUGCAAGUCGAGCGAAUGGAUUAAGAGCUUGCUCUUAUGAAGUUAGCGGCGGACGGGUGGGUAACACGUGGGUAACCUGCCCAUAAGACUGGGAUAACUCCGGGAAACCGGGGCUAAUACCGGAUAACAUUUUGAACCGCAUGGUUCGAAAUUGAAAGGCGGCUUCGGCUGUCACUUAUGGAUGGACCCGCUUCGCAUUAGCUAGUUGGUGAGGUAACGGCUCACCAAGGCAACGAUGCGUAGCCGACCUGAGAGGGUGAUCGGCCACACUGAGACUGAGACACGGCCCAGACUCCUACGGGAGGCAGCAGUAGGGAAUCUUCCGCAAUGGACGAAAGUCUGACGGAGCAACGCCGCGUGAGUGGUGAAGGCUUUCGGGUCGUAAAACUCUGUUGUUAGGGAAGAACAAGUGCUAGUUGAAUAAGCUGGCACCUUGACGGUACCUAACCAGAAAGCCACGGCUAACUACGUGCCAGCAGCCGCCGUAA
rnacentral:rRNA from 1 species